rnacentral:rRNA from 1 species
CAGUCGCCGCGGUAAUACAGAGGGUGCGAGCGUUAAUCGGAUUUACUGGGCGUAAAGCGUGCGUAGGCGGCUUUUUAAGUCGGAUGUGAAAUCCCUGAGCUUAACUUAGGAAUUGCAUUCGAUACUGGGAAGCUAGAGUAUGGGAGAGGAUGGUAGAAUUCCAGGUGUAGCGGUGAAAUGCGUAGAGAUCUGGAGGAAUACCGAUGGCGAAGGCAGCCAUCUGGCCUAAUACUGACGCUGAGGUACGAAAGCAUGGGGAGCAAACAGGAUUAGAGACCCGUGUAGUCCCUGUCUCUUAUAU